CGCGCAGGCGGUUAAUUAAGUCGAAUGUGAAAGCCCCCGGCUCAACUGGGGAGGGUCAUUCGAUACUGAUCAACUUGAAGGCAGGAGAGGGUAGUGGAAUUCCCGGUGUAGUGGUGAAAUGCGUAGAUAUCGGGAGGAACACCAGUGGCGAAGGCGACUACCUGGCCUGUUCUUGACGCUGAGGCGCGAAAGCUGGGGGAGCAAACGG
rnacentral:rRNA from 1 species